CUUCUUUCCUUUUCUCCUGCAAUUUCCUCAGGGACUUUACCCUGGAAUCCAAAGGAUUUGAAGAAGUUAAACUCCUCCUUCUUCUUUGAUGCUCAUCAAAACUCUCGUUUUUUAAAGCAGUCAAGGAAAUAAAAACUCCUACCCACUCUCCAAACAUUCUUCCUUUAGGCAGGGCUCUUAAUGAAACCCAGGUUGCAUUUAAAGCCACAGUAGCAAAAUAUUUAAUUUUAAAAGAAAGUUAUAUUAGUAUACAUUUAAGUAAAAUUAUGUGGCUAAGGCAUGAGGACAAGAGGCAUGAGAGUUGUCAAUAAUAUUAAAGCGCUACCACAUGGAAAAAAGGAUUGAAACAGCUUUGAGCUGCUUCUCAGAGAAUAAAUUAAACCAAUGGGUGAGAUGGGCAUAGUGUAUACAAUGAAGAUGUUGUCUCACAAUUAGAGUUGUUCCUGACCCAAGCAGUUGCUAAUUUAUUGGCUGUUUUCUAGAGGGAUGCACAGGGAAGAAAUUGAAUUGGAUGAUCUCUAAGCUCACUUUAGAUCUGAGAUCUUGGUGAUUAAGCCUUUCAUGAGCCAGAAGGGAGUCUUAAACCCCUUCCUCAAAAUCAUAUUAUGUAGCACAGCUCCCAGCAUUUUAUUAAUACUUACCAUUUGAUGAUAUAGAUUGUUAAGCCAGAACUCUGACAUCAGAAAAAAAUGGUAUAUUAUCCUUUUAUAAAAUUGGCUCUUUUGACAUAGCUAAUUGCAGUUUUAGUUUAUGUUGCUGACUUGUUUCAUUCUAUUUUCUUCUGAAAGCACUGAGAAGACAUCAUUGAAUGUGCAGUCAGAAAAUCCCUCAUAGGGGAGAUAAGAUAUUUUACGUUUUGGCAAUAAAUUAUAAACAUUUCCCUAGCAUGCACAAAAAGAAAGCCAACUUAAUAAACAAAUAGCACGUAUACUGUUCAACAACUAAAAAAAAAUUUAGAGAAAAGAUGAAAAUAUGAACAAAGACCAUAGUUUUAUAACUUCCUAGACUCAAUAUCAUAGAAAUAACAGCACCAAAAUUCACCUUUUUAACCUAAUUUUAUUUAUUGAAUUUGCUUCAUGCAAAGUUCAGCAUACUUUGUACUUAUGUGUCUUGAAUGUUAAAAAGAAAACUGUAUUUUCACAAAAUCAUGAUUUCAAAUUCCAGAAGCACGGCUUGAAGAGUCACACACUGGUUAAUGGACUGUCGGUGAGUGAUUUUUUAUGACCCUCUUUUUGUUAACAGAUAACGAGAAGUCUCGUCAACAGAAGCAUCUUCAAAUAUAUGAAAAUGAGCACAUCUAAAGAAGUGAGCAGUGUCCUUUGAUGUUCUUUUGAUUAGACAAGUUGGACUACUCUGUACAUUCACUCACUAUUCAGACCAGGUAUCAGAUCAACAUCGUGGUCUGCAGCUCUCCCAUGUGGCAGCCAUGAGAAUGUACUUCACACACCUCCAACUGCAGGGAGAAUAAUGGACCAAGGGCUCCAUCUGCCGUGCUCUGACAUCCAUUGCCAAGUUUGCAAGGAGACUACACUUUCCAUGGGAUGUUUCCUGCCAAUGACUAACAGUUGUUAAGGCAGGCCCAUUCCUGGUAGACACAGGAUUCCUCUGAAGGCUAACCUGAGCGUGCAACUCCCUGAAGACCUUGCUGACCCUCUCGUAAGAUUGCACAGCUGUCUGAGAGUCUUCCAUUCAACCUUCCCUCUCUCCUUCCCUUAGGAUAGGACUUUCAUUAUGGUCUGAUGGCUCUCCCAGCCUUCUCCAGCCACCUGUCCCUUUUCUUUCAUACAGGGAUUUCCACCAUAAAGUCCUGAUACUUAAAAUUCCAUCUUGGCAUCUGCUUCUCUGAGGAUUCAGAGAUCUCAUUCCAUCGAUUCCUGCUCCUUCCACCUUCAUCUUUCACAGGUGUUUUGCCCAAUCUAUAUCUUACACUCUUAGUUCCAUAUUUGUAUAUGCUUUCUGGAGAUCCAAAACUGACACACAUUUUUUCUUUGAAUGAAAUUCAUCAGGAAAGCUUAAUCUUGGAAGUCAUAAAACGGGUCUCUCCUGGCUGAAGCAAGAGUUGGGGUCCAGAGAGCUCCUUAUUCACUGCCACUCUCACCCCGCCUUUGGCUCCAGUGGAAGCUCCUGAAAUAUCUUUGAGACCUGUUUAGGAUAUGGGAAAGACAGUUUGGAAACUCCUGAACAAGAUGUCCUCACACAUUAAAUACUAUAAUUUUGUAACAUCUGAAUGUCUUCAUUGGAGUCCAUAUAUAAGGCCUUGCUAGUUCUCCCCCAAAUCUGAAAUUUUACCACCAGAGCCAGGCCACGGUAAGGUGUCCCCAGGCGGCAGCCACAAAAAUUGAGGCACCAGACAAGGGUAUAAGCUCCUUUCGAGGAGACACCGGCAAGCUGGAGUGAGGCAGAAGGAGAUCACACCAGCUUCUGUUUCCUGAGAGCAGUUGUGUAUGCCCCUAGGUGUGUGCCAAACCAGAAGCCUGCCCCUUAGGCCAAGGCCUAGACAAGCACAUGGGCCUCUUGCACAGAAAGACUGGGCUGUGUUUCAGUGUGCCCCCUGUACAGUGUCCUGGGGCUGGUAGCCUGCCAAGACCUGCCUCUCGCAUUGCUACAGUCCCAUGGGCCCCAGGAACACAAGCUCCCCUGGCCGCUAGAGACAGGCAUUAAGGGGUGUCCCCUGGGAGGCAGCUGCAAAAGCCAGGGGCCAGACGUGUAUAAAAGCUCCUUUCUGGGGGAUACACGUCCUCUGGAGCACGGCAGCGGGAGAGGGCGAGGAUGGCGCUCACAGGAGGGGGGCAGGGCGGAAGGAGAAGAAACAAGCCUCGAUUUAAAAACAAAAACUUUUAAGGUGCCCACAGAUGGGAGGAGUUGCGGAAGAUGUGUCCUGAGGGGAAAAAAAAACAAACAAGGGUGCCUGCAGGUGGUGUGGAGGGUGGAGGAAAAAAGAGAAAAAGACCUGGAAUUUAUUAAAGUAAUCAAUUAAAUUUAAAGAAAUUCAAGGCACCUGCGGAGACGGGCGAAUGAGGUGGUUUCUACCAAAAAAAAAAGAAAAAGAAAAUACCCCCAAAUGAUGGCGUCCGGCGGCUAGAGCAACCCGGCAGGAGGGGGGAGGCCAAGGCUGGCGCCCCACAGUGUCCUCGCUGGAGGGCGUCCAGCGGCUCCGGAAAGUGCUCGUUAAGUCAGAUGCCUGCCCCUCAGGCCGCUUCUAUAUCAGCAAACGAGCCUCCUUCACAGGAAGUCCGGUCGCAGUCAGCUGCGUCUGCGCAGUGAGCUGCGUCUGCGUUGGACCUGAGGCGGGUGAGUCCGAGCGCUGGGCCCUUUGCAAGCCACUACUCAGCUUGUCACAGCCUGGGGGUCUCUUGGACACGAGCCCCUUUGGUUUGCAAAGCUAGAUGUUUGGGGGGCUUGUCUCUCGUCUUAAAAGCGGGGCUGCCCAGCGCGGGGUUCAAAGCCUUUGCUCGUCAGGGAGGAGCUCCCGGUUUGAGUUCGGUCUUGAUUGUGAGUCGCUGCACCAGGGAUAUGGGGUUUCGGCGAGCUUGUGGCCCGGCCUCUCCCAGCUGCGUCAGUGGGAUGUGUUUCUUGUUUGCCCAGUGUGAAGUUGUCACACAUCCCGCGUUUAGGUUUUAUUUUAGAGGAAAUUGUUCCAUAGGUAGCGGUAGAGUCGGUGUGUCCGUGCAAGGAGGUGAGUUCGAGAUAGACCUCCACCUCCAUCUUAGGCCAGCACCUCCUUUUGUCUUUCAAUUGAAAAUUUUCAUUUGAUUUAAUCUCGUAUUUCUUUGUUAGACUUUUACUCUUUCCUGACCCUACUUGUUUGUUGCGAUUUGGGAUAUGAGGAAGAUUUGUUACAAAUUAUAUGCAAGAUAGUAAGAGAAAGACAGGAGAAAAAAAGUACACGACUUGUCAAAAUCGUUCAUUUGGAGUCGGCUGUGGACAAAUACUUUUCGAAACCUGAAGGGAAUGAGCAGAGACCACUUCACCUUAUGAUUUCGUGUCUGCUUGUUCAUAUUUCCAUGAGAAGCAUUAUGUUCAGUAUCUAACGUGAUUGUCGCUGGUUAAUGGGAAUCUGAGCCUGAUCUUAGGCUAAAUUCUGUUUAAGGAAAAUGAUAGAAUCUUAUUUGCUCAUCUGUUGCUGUGAUGUACAGGAUGUGUGUGUGUGUGUGUGUAUAUGUAUAUUUGGGGCUGAAUGAAGGCUGGAACAGGCAGGAGGAAAGAGAAAAGAAGUACUUCUAAAUUAGGCAGGUGAAAAAGACAGUGUAGAGUAGCAAUCACCCAGCAAAUAGAUUCAGGUGGAUAUAUAAUAAGCAGUUCCUAAAGAGAACUGUCCUAUUUAUGUAAUCCAUGGGGAUUUUAAUAAAAAGAUAGCAACAUAAUACAGCCUGAUACUAAGUGACUUUCAGAUUCUUUGAAUAACAAGGAUCAAAUUCGAAGUUAUAUUGAUGUCACUGAAUCCCUGCAGCUUUUCAUUAGUUCCCUUUCUAGUUUGAUCUGGAAUGCAAAUUUCUCAGGCCCAUUCACUAUUGUAAGCAUUAAAAGAACUGCUUGUUCACAUUAUUCGGAUAUGUCAUCACUUUUGGGGGUUCAUUAGAAAGAGACAUGGUUUAUACCUGUGAGUUACAGUCAACUCAGCAGGCAUUUAAAACAUUAAAGUUAUGUGUUCCUCUUCAAAGGAAAAGAAGCUGUGCAAGCAGUAACUUUUCAUGUCUAGAGUAAGUAGGAAUGUAUUAUGUCUUCUGUGGUAGUCAAUUAAUCACCUGGAGUUUUACAUAUGAUCCUGGCUGGGGUAGAAAGCUUUAGUCGUAAUAUUCAUUCUGUUUUGUAACUAUUUCAGCUUUGAAUAGUUAACAUGGUAUUAAUUUCUUGAAUUGGCUUUCAUUUUGGGUAGUUUAGGAGACUGUUUCUAUUUCAUUGGCAACACAGAUGCUAUCCUGCCUCCUCUAUGAAGCCUCUUCUGACUGCAAGCUGUCUUCUCUGCUCAGAGUUUAACUUUCUCUACCAUUAAUUUGUCACUUUCUACCUUGCACUGUAAUUUCCUCAGCCUAUGCAUGUAUUAUCUCCACAAACAUAUUUUAAGCUACCUGAGAGUCAGGUAUUUCUCUAAGAUCUCUUUAUAUCCCCCAGUUCUUCAAGAGUCUUUCAUUCAUUAACUCUUGGCAAAGUUUUGCAACAUAAAUUUCCUCAACACAUCACAUGAUUUUUUUCUAUGUAAAUAUCUUGCUCUGUAUUUUAACUUGUGACAUAUUGUGA